rnacentral:rRNA from 1 species
UACGUAGGGGGCAAGCGUUGUCCGGAAUCAUUGGGCGUAAAGCGCGUGUAGGCGGUCCGGUAAGUCCGCUGUGAAAGUCGGGGGCUUAACCCUCGGAUGCCGGUGGAUACUGUCGGGCUUGAGUACGGAAGAGGCGAGUGGAAUUCCUGGUGUAGCGGUGAAAUGCGCAGAUAUCAGGAGGAACACCAGCGGCGAAGGCGGCGCUCUGGGCCGGAACUGACGCUGAGGAGCGAAAGCGUGGGUAGCAAACAGG